CCUACGGGUGGCUGCAGUGAGGAAUAUUGGUCAAUGGCCGUAAGGCUGAACCAGCCAAGUAGCGUGAGGGAAGACUGCCCUAUGGGUUGUAAACCUCUUUUAUGCGGGGAUAAAGGUGUCCACGUGUGGAUGUUUGCAGGUACCGCAUGAAUAAGGACCGGCUAAUUCCGUGCCAGCAGCCGCGGUAAUACGGAGGAUGCGAGCGUUAUCCGGAUUUAUUGGGUUUAAAGGGUGCGUAGGCGGUCCGGAAAGUCAGCGGUAAAAGCCCGGGGCUCAACCCCGGCGAGCCGUUGAAACUGUCGGACUAGAGACGGCGAGAAGUACGCGGAAUGCGCGGUGUAGCGGUGAAAUGCAUAGAUAUCGCGCAGAACUCCGAUUGCGAAGGCAGCGUACCGGCGCCGGACUGACGCUGAGGCACGAAAGCGUGGGUAUCGAACAGGAUUAGAUACCCUUGUAGUC
rnacentral:rRNA from 1 species